AUGCAAUUCAUUGAGAUUAAAAUGCCAUAUAGCAUUCCCUCUCUGAGCUAUUACGAUCAGUAUCACCACGAUGUAAGCACGAGCAGUAGGAAGAUGAGGAGUGGGGAAGCUUACUCUAAACAUAGCUACCGCCGCCGUUCAGACGAGGAGAGCGGCGAGGGAAGCAUGGAGAACGGCGGGGAAGCGAGGUCGGGACCACUGUCCUCCUCAUCUUGUGCUUCGGAGUCUCCGAUGACUCGGUUGGAGGCUGCACAAUCUGCAACGGCACCUCAUGCACGGUGGGUUCCUGAUCCAGUGGAUGCUCUACCCUGGAUCUGA
rnacentral:rRNA from 1 species